rnacentral:rRNA from 1 species
AUUGAACGCUGGCGGCAGGCCUAACACAUGCAAGUCGAGCGGAUGAAGGGAGCUUGCUCCUGGAUUCAGCGGCGGACGGGUGUGUAAUGCCUAGGAAUCUGCCUGGUAGUGGGGGAUAACGUCCGUAAACGGGCGCUAAUACCGCAUACGUCCUGUGUGUGAAAGUGUGGGAUCUUCGGACCUCACGCUAUCAGAUUAGCCUAGGUCGGAUUAGCUAGUUGGUGGGGUAAAGUCCUACCAAGGCGACGAUCCGUAACUGGUCUGAGAGGAUGAUCAGUCACACUGGAAGUGAGACACGGUACAGAGUCCUACGGGAGGCAGCAGUGGGGAAUAUUGGACAAUGGGCGAAAGCAUGAUCCAGCAAUGCCGCGUGUGUGAAGAAGGUCUUCGGAUUGUAAAGCACUUUAAGUUGGGAGGAAGGGCAGUAAGUUAAUACCUUGCUGUUUUGACGUUAACAACAGAAUAAGCACCGGCUAACUUCGUG